rnacentral:tRNA from 1 species
UGGUGGUUCAGUGAUACAAUUCUUGUCUUCAAUGCAAGAGACCCAGGUUCAAGUACUGGCCA